CAGCAGCAAGCACCGGAGAACCACAUCACAGAACCGCCAAGCCAAGUCUCCGUCCACGAUGCUCUCAACAGAGUAACGACGUCAAGACGCCGCCAUCGCCGAUCCUACUACGGACCAAGGCUUUCGCCCGGAGACCACAACCCGAUCAAGAGGAGAAGAUGCCGACAGACUUCGGCGAUGCCUCCAAAGAAAAGAACGACACCCACAGGCGCCGUCGUCGCCAGCUCUAACCAAAGUUAAGCAGAAUUUUCAUCCAAACCAUCGCACACCUCCCACCCCUACCAUCGGAGCCAAACAGUCGAUGCGAGGCCACACCGCCGCUGCCACAGCACCUUGCCGUCAUGCUCCAGCUGUUGCAGGACACCGACCCCUCGCACGGCCAGGAGCACGCAGACCAACCUCCAGGUCCUACACGUAUGAAGAAGAAGCACCAGCACCACCACCACUCCAGCUUGGCCAGGAACCGCCGGCCACAGGCAGGGCUGGAGACGCCACUCCUGGCAGUCAGCAGCCAGCCGAGCCGCGGCUGCGCCCCAGGAGCACGCACGCGAGAGACCAUCGACCACCGCCUUCACGCGCCCGCUAACCGCAGCUCUCCCCGCCGCGAGACCCAGGAUCGAGCGCCCAGAUCCGGUCACGCAGCCACCAGCUCCCCAAGGCGCAGCCUUCCACCUCCACGCCGGCGACAGCAGGAGGCGCAUCGCGCGCCCCGGCCUCCGCAGCGUCUCCCGGCCGCCGCUCCAGGCCCAGGCCAAGAUCCGCCGCCGAGAUCCCUCCGCGCCACACCCUCCGACACCGCGCCGGCGCCCUGAGAAAGCUGCCGCCCCUCACCUCCAGACCGUGCUCUUCCUCUCCCAGUGCUCCCCGCCGUGCGCCGCCACUCCGGAGACAUCCACCGCGCCGCCCGCUUGACGAAGCUUCCCCGCGCGAAGAAGGCCCGUCGGGGCGCGCCACCCCCGCCCGCCGCCUUUGACGGCCGGGCGCCGCCACCACCGCCGGCACCGGCGGCGGCGGCGGCCAAGGAAUCGAGGAGUGGAGGGGUGCUUGGGGGCGGCUAGGGUUUCCUCCGGAGCCGCCCCGCGAGCGGCCCGGGAGGGAGAGGGGAACUGGAGGAGUGUAUGUGAGGACCUGACGCUGGCGCCAAGGACAUGCUAUCCGCCGUGCUGCCGGGGGCGCGGCCAUACACUGGAGCUGCAGCCUCAUGUCUGUUGUUUGGGCAUGGGGCUUUCAAGUGAGUAUGAAGUUUCUGCUCAGCCUUUGGUUCUUCGAUCGAUAUAUUUUCAUGUUGUUUUCCUGGGCCUUCCUGCUUGAUCUUGCAUGUUCCUCCUCUGUACAUCACUUAACUAAUCACAUCAGCCUAUGAAUAUUUACUUAGCUCAUUGGUAUUCAGUAAUAUGAAUGGGCCUGUUAUAUGGAUUACAAUUGCUACCAUCUGUCUGCAGUUUUUACAAGUAGAUAUGUGGAACAGUACUUGUAUUUGUGUUUCCUACCAUGUUUGGUGCCAUUCACUGAUCCCUUUGGUACUGAGAAAUUACCGGAACACUGUCAUCGAUGUGAAUUAGUUGAGCUAGAGAAAUUAGGCUCUUUCAGAUGUAGGUACUUAUGCUCAUGCAUCAAGUAAUCGAAUCAAGCAUGCUGUCAACAGUAGAGUGGUGCCGGUUCUUUGGCUGUACAAUUGUUAUUUCAUAAAUAAAUACUGAAGUUCAGUACUAGCUCCAAGGUGAGUAGUUGAAUUACUGAUAAUGGAGGUAAUUCAGUGGUGAGCAUGGAUUGGGGAGACGAAGAUUAUGGGAGGACAAGGAAGGAUGAUGAUUUGAAGGUAAAAAUAAUCGACAAUGCUAGUUGAUGUGCAUAAGGAUGCUAAAAGGAUAUUUAUACCCUGUUGCAAUGCACGCUGUGGAGCAUGGCGGCGUUGGCUACUUGGCUUCCUGGUUCUCGGCCUUCAUCGGGUGGCUAGACCACACCGCACAGAAGACGAGGGUGAUGUCGGUUAGGUGCCUGGGCAACGACGAUUAGAAUGGACAGGUCGAAGUCGCAGGUGCGUGACGGCUGGAGAGGGCCGCAAGGUCCAGAGAGGGGGUGCACAGCGGAUGUGUUCUACUUCCCAUUGAGAGGAUUCUGGCCAAAUCAGAUGAUGCAGGUUUUUCCAUUGAAGAGAGCAAAUUAUUCGAAAAAACUGCAAUAUGAGAGGCUUCGUUGGUACCUUCAGAAAGUUGCAUCCCAGUGUUGUGGGUUACACCUUCUGGCGUGAAAAUCAGCUCCAUAAAAAGAAAGGUGCAUCACUAUAUUGGUGGAUAAUUUAAUUACAUAAAUGAUGUAAUGGUGCAUUUGCUUUUAGAUUUCUGUUAACCUGGUACCAAAAAGGUAAGCAUGCAUGCUCGAAAAAUCUUAGCAUUUGGGAAUCUAGCUAUUCAGGCAUCCUUGAGUGAUACAUAUUUCUUUGUACAUUGAAAUACAGUUGGACAACAAGCACCUUAUGCCAGUUGUGUUUAUACUCCAAAAUUGCAGUAUCUACCUUUCCCAAAUAACAGAAAAAAAUAAGGUAUGCAAUCUAAAAAACAUGUCAUCAAAAGAGAGUUACGACUUACAAUCCAUGCGAAAAUAAGAACCCGGAUUCUUAUUUCCAAAAAUAAAUAGCCCAACGAAAUGAUUGCUUCUGUUUGUUUUCUAUUAGAAUGAAAGUUGAACUUCUUUUCCAUUUAAUAAGUUGGCAAUUGGAUUACUUCUUGUGUCAAGAUCCAUCAUUGGCAUGGUUCAUGAUUUGUAUAUUCUCCCGGAUGUAACAUCCAAUGACCAAUCUGAUUAGCCUUGUUUUGAAGAUGGCGAACAGUUGGCAAUUAGGCACCGUUUAGACCCUUAGUUGCUGGAGAAAUAGUUUUUCAGGCUGAGAUAAUCCAAAGUUGGUAGCCAUAGUUUGCAUAGUCAUUUUCUCCAUGGAUUGCGCAAAACCUAUCUAGAGUAAUCUGUAAAUGUUCUUCAAAGAGAUUGCAUAUCUGUUACCCCAUGUCGGGUUUAGUACCUCUGGGUUCAAGAUCUAGAGCUACAAGUAUUUUCGACUAGAAUGUGGUCAUAUAUGUGCUAAUUCAUGCCGAUGUGCAUGCUCUUUAAACUUUUGAGAGGAAUGGCUGAAAUCUUUACUAGAGCUUCUGCAAAUGGGAUUUCUCCAGGAAGCCCCACCAUAGUUACUUCACUUGUCUGAAUGGCGAGUAACUUGUUAUAUGUGUCUCCCAGAUUAAAAUAUUUCUAUUUACUAGCUGUAUACAUCGUAGGUUAAUACUCAUGGCUGUUGAGGAAGUUAAAUGCUAUGUACUCUUUAUUAGUUUGGUUUGAAAUGUAAAGG
rnacentral:rRNA from 1 species